GGAACGUCUAUUCUCCAGAACUGGUCACAAAUGAAGAUUCUGAAAGAGAAGACAGAAUCACUGAGAGAAACUGGGAAGAGGUAAAUAGUGUUACAGAGGAUACUUUACUAGAAAAUGGAUAAAGAAAAGAAAUAACAUGGUCCUUGAGAAGUUGUAAACAUAAAGAACCACAUCCUUUGGAUAUAAUUGGCCUCAACAUGAAGAUGAUGAAAAUGGAGACCUUCAUCGUGAUCCACUUCUAAUUAAUGAAUAGGGAGGCUUGGGCCGAACUGGGUGAUCAGACAUCAUACACAGAGAAGGAGCAAGAGAGAGAUUACACAGAGGAGGAACAAGGUGUGCAGC
rnacentral:lncRNA from 10 species